rnacentral:rRNA from 1 species
GAUGAACGCUGGCAGCGCGCUUAAAACAUGCAAGUCGAACGGAACUUAGUUGAAUGUUUACAUGAUACGAAAGUUUAGUGGCGGACGGGUGAGUAACACGUGAGCAACCUGCCUUCGAGAGUGGGACAACAGAGAGAAAUUUCUGCUAAUACCACAUAUGACCACAGUACCGCAUGGUGCAGGGGUGAAAGGAGCAAUCCACUCGAAGAUGGGCUCGCGGCUGAUUAGCUAGUUGGUGAGGUAACGGCCCACCAAGGCGACGAUCAGUAGCCGAACUGAGAGGUUGAUCGGCCACAUUGGGACUGAGACACGGCCCAG